rnacentral:lncRNA from 1 species
CCCAAUGCAAGCCCUGGCAGAUGUCUUCAACACCAGAGUGACACUCAGCCUGAAGGCCAGGAUUGAAGGCUGGAAGUACAGGGGCAAGAAAUACCUUUGAAAAUACUCCAGUGUCCAAACUGCUCACUGGUGUUGCUGCCUUGUGAGCCAGGGCACGAGGCUUUGUUGAGGUCACUACUUUUCAUUCCCUCCAAGAUGGACAAGAUGUUUGUUUUGUGCACAGUAAGUGGAACACAGGGCCUCCGGCAUGGUGCUUGUAUGUUCUCUUCAGAAACUAAGGAAUGGAGCAGUGUCUUGAACGUGCUACACAAGCCCCCUAACAGCCAAGCGAAUCCAGCAGCUCUACAGACAUCCUUUCACUAAGCAGUUAUUUCUCCUCCGAUGUUCUGAUCGCUGUGGGCAGCCUCCAAACACUUUUUGAAAAAGCUGGAGAGAAAGGCAAGCUUGAAAAGGGGAAUGCAGGAUAGAGGCAAAGGGAGAGAAGCAGGCAAGCGACUCCACAAUGAUACUCAUUCCUUUAUUGUCAACUGUGUUCAUCUCAACAGGGCUGGGGCCUGCAGGCU